rnacentral:rRNA from 1 species
UACGAAGGGGGCUAGCGUUGCUCGGAAUCACUGGGCGUAAAGCGCACGUAGGCGGCUUUUUAAGUCAGGGGUGAAAUCCUGGAGCUCAACUCCAGAACUGCCUUUGAUACUGAGAAGCUUGAGUCCGGGAGAGGUGAGUGGAACUGCGAGUGUAGAGGUGAAAUUCGUAGAUAUUCGCAAGAACACCAGUGGCGAAGGCGGCUCACUGGCCCGGUACUGACGCUUAGGUGCGAAAGCGUGGGGAGCAAACAGG